CGGAUAGCUCAAACAGCGUUAUUCAGAUCUUGAGAAAAGGAAGCUUUGUUAUUUCCAGCUUUCCUUCUCCAACACAUGUGUGCACAAGUCCAUGGUUGCUGUUUGCAAUAUAGGAGCCCACAAACUGGAACCCCACGUUUCCAAGUUUUGUAUGUUUGGAAAUACUUACCAGAUCUGAGACCAACAGCGUUGUCAGUUUGUACUAUGAUCAUUUGGGAGCUUUGCAUUUAACU